UACGUAGGGGGCAAGCGUUGUCCGGAAUUAUUGGGCGUAAAGCGCGCGCAGGCGGUAACUUAAGUCUGGUGUUUAAGCCCGGGGCUCAACCCCGGUACGCACUGGAAACUGGGUGACUGGAGUGCAGGAGAGGGGAGUGGAAUUCCACGUGUAGCGGUGAAAUGCGUAGAUAUGUGGAGGAACACCAGUGGCGAAGGCGACUCUCUGGCCUGUAACUGACGCUGAGGCGCGAAAGCGUGGGGAGCAAACAGG
rnacentral:rRNA from 1 species